GACGAACGCUGGCGGCGUGCUUAACACAUGCAGGUCGAACGGAAGGGCCCUGCUUUUGUGGGGUGCUCGAGUGGCGAACGGGUGAGUAACACGUGAGUAACCUGCCCUUGACUUUGGGAUAACUUCAGGAAACUGGGGCUAAUACCGGAUAGGAGCUCCUGCUGCAUGGUGGGGGUUGGAAAGUUUCGGCGGUUGGGGAUGGACUCGCGGCUUAUCAGCUUGUUGGUGGGGUAGUGGCUUACCAAGGCUUUGACGGGUAGCCGGCCUGAGAGGGUGACCGGCCACAUUGGGACUGAGAUACGGCCAGACUCCUACGGGAGGCAGCAGUGGGGAAUAUUGCACAAUGGGCGGAAGCCUGAUGCAGCAACGCCGCGUGCGGGAUGACGGCCUUCGGGUUGUAAACCGCUUUCGCCUGUGACGAAGCGUGAGUGACGGUAAUGGGUAAAGAAGCACCGGCUAACUACGUG
rnacentral:rRNA from 1 species